UUUAUUGUACGUCAUACUAAAAGUAAAUAUCACGUUGUUUCGUUCUUUUUUUUUCUAAAGGGUUAAUUAUUAUUUUUACGAAUAUACUUUAACGUUGGUUACAAACAUUUUUCCGGUGUACGUCUUUUUCUUAGCAGCCGAGUAAUUAUGUCAGGUUUGAAACAAGUUGUUUUAGGUUUAACUGUAUUGUUCGUUAUUGUCACGUGCGGAGGCAAUGAUAAUAAUAACAAAAAUAUAUGUAUUCAAGCAACUGAUAACUGUCCUAACGAGUAUAUUAAAUUAUAUUUGUAUACAAAUAAAACUAAAGAUGAUCCUGUUGAGCUUUCGGAAGAUUCAAUCAAAAACAUUCAGUUUGCAAUGACUUUUGAUCUAAAAAUACUAAUACACGGAGUCAAAGGAUCGCGUGACGACGAUUUUAACACAUUAAUGAGGAACGCUUAUUUCUCACAGGCAGAGUAUAACAUAAUCACGAUAGAUUAUCAUCCUAUCGCGACUUCGUUGAAAUGUUACGACGUCGCUGUUCGAAACUUGCCAAUUAUCGCCAAAUGUAUAACACAAAUUUUGGAUAAGAUCCUCGACGAAUACGACCAAUUUGAGUACAUACACGCCAUUGGCUUCAGCUUGGGAGGUCAAGCCGCUGGUCUCGUGGGGAAACUAUUGAAGGCGAAGGGAAAGAUUCUGAACAGGGCUACAGGCCUUGAUCCAGCUUUACCUUAUUUUGAAUACAUGUGGAACAAUUUGGACAAGCACAGUGCAACCGUAGUGGAUGUCAUACAUACGAAUUGUGGUGCUCUCGGACAAAUGUUACCGAUUGGAACAGUUGAUUUUUACGCCAAUGGUGCAAUCACACAGCCGGGAUGUGAUAAAAAUAUCACGAAAAAGCAUAUAAAUAUUACGCUGAGUCGAUUUACUAUGGAACGACCAUGUCUGGAUUUUAUGCGACGACUUCGAGCUCUUUAAACCAGCUGUCAUUAUUGGGACAUUUUAGUACUUUUUCGGGAAAAAAAGUAUUAGUUGGAGAAUAUCUUGACCCUGAGACUAAAGGAAUAUACAACUUUUUAACCAACGAUAGUCCACCUUACUCUAAAGGAAAAAAUACAAUUUGUAAUUUAAUAAUGGAAUGGUUUUCUAAUUUCUAAUAUUUAAACAUUACACAUGUGUAUAUUAUGGAUAAUA
rnacentral:misc_RNA from 1 species